rnacentral:lncRNA from 1 species
CUCCCCCUCCUCUCCCUUGCUGCCCACACUGAGGGCUCAGCCCAGAACAGGGGGGUUCUGAGUCCCAGCACACACAAUUGGGGCAGGGUCAGCUCUCACCCAGCAGCACCCCCAGGUCUUACCUGGCAGAAAUUCCCUCUAUUUUCCUAGGGAAUAAUGGAGUGAUAGACACUGGUGUUGCAGUGAAGAUGGCUGAAGAGAAGGAAAGCUGCAAACCCUCAAGAAGUUUCCCCUUCAGUGCCUGUUUUUAAGGGUUAGGCAUCUCCACCAUGAGCUGAAGCAGAUAUGAAAGGCCCUUGGUCAGGGGCUAUGAUUGCUUGCAAAGAUACCCACAGGUAACGGGAUUUGAACUGCCUGUUCCUUGACUUCUCUCUCUGCCCCUAUAGUAGCUGCAUUAAUUUUUAUCUUUAAACAUUCUUGCUAUGCAAAAAAAUCCCCACUGAUGUUACCACCUCUGAGUCAUGCCAGCAUAUUUGUGUGCUGGUAUAUUUUAGGAGCAAAGCUGGUGGAGUUCAAUAAGUAUAAAGCAGGACUUGAUAAGCAAGGUAAUGGUAGUAGCAGGCAAUUCAGAUAAGGGAAAGGAGGUGUGAUGUGCUGGGACCUUGCUAUAUUGAUCCCAAAUGAGUUUGGCCCAGGCUAUCUCUCAGUCCCUGGAUUUUCUGCAGGUUAAAUUCCUUUCCUCAGGCUUGGAGGAUAUAUCAGUGUUGUCAGCCUGAUAGAUCAUAGAAUAUACAAUUGUGAAACCUCCUGAGCUGGAAGGAACCUACAAGGAUCACCGAGGCCAGCCCUUAGUGCUGCACAGCUCCAAGAAGGUACGCUGUCCUUUGCUUCAGAUCUGUUCUUACCCCUACAGGCACUUGGAGACCUUAUCUGCUAAAUGACAGACUCAUAUAUCACAUCUGUCUUCUCCUCUCAGGCUGUUGCACAACUAAUGACCACUGAUAUGGGAUUAAAGCAGUGUUGGAUCACCCAGCAGGACCACUGGAAACAAGGUUUGUACUCCAAGAUCAUCAGCUUCGACUUCUCAGCUAGUAGUGCUCACUUACCUGCUGCUGGAGGCUCCUUGAGGGUGUAUCUGAACUUCCUGACCCAUUUUUUCACUCUUCUGGCAUCCUCAGUGAGGAACAAGUCUAUCAGAACCUCAGCUUUGCACUGCACUAAGAGCUUGAAUCUGGCUCCACCGAUCCCUUCUGCCACAGUCCCAAGGCAGAAGAGCAGGAAGAGGGAUUUCUGUAAAAUUCUUCAGGUCUUGGAACGGGAAUCAUCAUCUUGA